rnacentral:rRNA from 1 species
GCGUAUAGAAUCUGCCUUGUACAGGAGGAUAGCCUUUAGAAAUGAAGAUUAAUACUCCAUAAUAUUGAGAAGUGGCAUCACUUUUUAAUUAAACAUUUAUGGGUACAAGAUGACUAUGCGUCCUAUUAGCUAGAUGGUAAGGUAACGGCUUACCAUGGCAACGAUAAAUAGGAGGUCUGAGAGGAUUUAAUCCCCCACACUGGUACUGAGACACGAACCAGACUCCUACGAGAGGCAGCAGUGAGGAAUAUUGGUCAAUGGAGGCAACUCUGAACCAGCCAUGCCGCGUGCAGGAUGACU